rnacentral:rRNA from 1 species
GAUGAACGCUGGCGGCGUGCCUAAUACAUGCAAGUCGAGCGAACGGACGAGAAGCUUGCUUCUCUGGUGUUAGCGGCGGACGGGUGAGUAACACGUGGAUAACCUACCUAUAAGACUGGGAUAACUUCGGGAAACCGUAGCUAAUACCGGAUAAUAUUUUGAACCGCAUGGUUCAAAAGUGAAAGACGGUCUUGCUGUCACUUAUAGAUGGAUCCGCGCUGCAUUAGCUAGUUGGUAAGGUAACGGCUUACCAAGGCAACGAUGCAUAGCCGACCUGAGAGGGGGAUAGGCCACACUGGAACUGAGACACGGUCAAGACUCCUACGGGAGGCAGCAGUAGGGAAUCUUCCGCAAUGGGCGAAAGCCUGACGGAGCAACGCCGCGUGAGUGAUGAAGGUCUUCGGAUCGUAAAACUCUGUUAUUAGGGAAGAACAUAUGUGUAAGUAACUGUGCACAUCGUGACGGUACCUAAUCAGAAAGCCACGGCUAACUACGUG